CAUAUCACAGGAGUUCUUCGGUGUUACUGCUGGGAUCAAUUUUUUUAUCUCCUGAGGGAUAAAACUCACCUCAUCAGAAAGAGUCAGUAGGUGAAAACAAUACAACCUCUCAAAUCUACAUAAGUCCAAAGGGUUAACUUUUAUCUUCACUUUCAAUUAUUCCUAUUAUCAAUUAAGCCAAAGAAAUAACAACCACUAAUCUACCCUUAUCUGACAUUAGCAUGUACCCAGCUCAAUGUGCUUUAUAAGCAGGAGCUUUGGCUCACAGCUGCUGUGCAACAGGCAGCCUGCAUUUAUGCUCCUUUCACUGACACAGAAGCUAAAGCAAAAAAGGAAAUUGUGCACCUGCUGAUAAUCCCCCCAAACACCAAAGAAACUUAUCAGAGUUCUCAGAAGGCAAGAACAGCUGGAAAGGGGAAGGACAGUAAAGAUUGCCAGCUGCUCCCAACAGAGGGUUCCAGAGAAAAGACCUCUGGCCUGGUGUGGAUAGCAAAAGGAUAUCCCUCAGUGUGAAGGUUCUUGGUAAAGAGCACAAACCCUGUGUGGAGGGAAGACAACAACUUUCAAACCCUGCUGAUGGUACAUGAACAUCACCAUUUUUUCACAUUAGUGUCACCACUGUGUUAUCACCUACCCACGUCAGAUAAAAACUUUCCCAGGACAUUGCUGCAAGAAGGAAUUACAGAAAUGAUGAAGGCAUAAAUGCAAGCAGGGAGCAACACCCUGCUGCUUUCCUAGCAGCUGUCAGAACCGACUGGUGGAGCAGAUGAAAUGUAAACUGCAGCUCUGUCACACAUAUUUUUGAGAUGUGAUGUCCUGGCCAAAGAAAGAUACAAACUUGUUUAUCUUUAAAAAGAGACUAGAACACUGACCUUGAAGAUCAGAUCAAGUAUAAAGUGGCCUAAAAUAACAAACAGAAUGUAUGUCAUAUCUCCAAGAUUCAUUCCUCAAGUUUACACACGAAACUUGUAAGUGACUCUGGAAAGGCUGAUCCUGUGAAAUGUACUGAGAACUCUGAGGCCAAGAAACUGCCAGUGGAAUUUUGGAUGCUGAGCACCUUCCAGGAUCACUCUGAUGGGAAAAAAAGAAAACCAAAUGCCCCAUUAGAUGAAAAUCAAAGGGCUUAAUACUGAUGGCAGGAUGCUGAUCUAUCUUGCUUUUAAUGGCCUUAUUUUUGGAACAAGAAAGACUUGCCCUCAGUUGAGGAGAGGGAGGUUAGGAAACAUUUAAACAAACUGUGCACACACAAGUCUGUGGAUCUGAUGGGAUGCAGCCAUGAGAGCUGAGGGAGCUGGCUGAUGGCCUUGCUUGAUUCUCUCUAAAAGGUUGGGGCAACUGGAAUAGCUUCCUGAGGAGUGGAAGAAAUAAAUGUCAUCUCUGUCUUCACAAAGAGAAAGAAGGGGGAUCUAAAGACCUGCAAGUUGUUCAGCCUCACCUGCAUCCCUGUGAGUCUGGUGAAGCAAAUAAUCCUGGAAUCCUUUUUCAGGCACAUGAAGGAUGUAAAGGUUAUCAGGAGCAGUCAGGAUGAAUUUCCAAAGGGCACAUAAUGCCUGACCAGGCUGGUAGCCUGACUAGCUUGGUGGAUGACAGGAGAGCAAAGGAUGGUGUUUGUUUGACUUUAGCAAGGCUUUUGACACUGUCUCACAUAACAUACCCCCAGAUAAAUAGUUUAAAUACAGGCUAGGGAACUUUUAUCCCCUUCCUAAAUGUCCUACGAAAUGGGGCAGAGGACUGCAGUGAUUUUACAGAUUAUAUGAAAACUAAAGGGGUGAGUUCUGUACAAGGUGGUUGUGUUGGUGUCUAGAGGAACUUGAACAAAUUUUGGAGAUUAAUAAAAACCUGACUACAUCAGCA